rnacentral:tRNA from 1 species
GCCGAAGUGGUGGAACUGGCAGACGCGCUACGUUCAGGGCGUAGUGAGGAUUUCCUCAUGCGGGUUCAAAUCCCGCCUUCGGCA